UGGGGAAUAUUGCACAAUGGGGGAAACCCUGAUGCAGCGACGCCGCGUGAGUGAUGAAGUAUUUCGGUAUGUAAAGCUCUAUCAGCAGGGAAGAUAAUGACGGUACCUGACUAAGAAGCACCGGCUAAAUACGUGCCAGCAGCCGCGGUAAUACGUAUGGUGCAAGCGUUAUCCGGAUUUACUGGGUGUAAAGGGUGCGUAGGUGGCAAGGCAAGUCUGAAGUGAAAAUCCGGGGCUCAACCCCGGAACU
rnacentral:rRNA from 1 species